rnacentral:rRNA from 1 species
GUAGGUGGCAAGCGUUGUCCGGAAUUAUUGGGCGUAAAGCGCGCGCAGGCGGUUCUUUAAGUCUGAUGUGAAAGCCCACGGCUCAACCGUGGGGGGUCAUUGGAAACUGGAGAACUUGAGUACAGAAGAGGAAAGCGGAAUUCCACGUGUAGCGGUGAAAUGCGUAGAGAUGUGGAGGAACACCAGUGGCGAAGGCGGCUUUCUGGUCUGUAACUGACGCUGAGGCGCGAAAGCGUGGGGAGCAAACAGGGAUUAGAUACCUUGGUAGUCCACGCCGUAAACGAUGAGUGCUAAGUGUUAGGGGGUUUCCGCCCCCUUAGUGCUGCAGCUAACGCAUUAAGCACUCCGCCUGGGGAGUACGGCCGCAAGGCUG